rnacentral:rRNA from 1 species
CCUACGGGAGGCAGCAGUGGGGAAUAUUGGACAAUGGGCGCAAGCCUGAUCCAGCAAUGCCGCGUGUGUGAAGAAGGCCUUCGGGUUGUAAAGCACUUUUAUCAGGAGCGAAAUACCACGGGUUAAUACCCUAUGGGGCUGACGGUACCUGAGGAAUAAGCACCGGCUAACUUCGUGCCAGCAGCCGCGGUAAUACGAAGGGUGCAAGCGUUAAUCGGAAUUACUGGGCGUAAAGGGUGCGUAGGCGGUUACUUAAGUCUGUCGUGAAAUCCCCGGGCUCAACCUGGGAAUGGCGAUGGAUACUGGGUGGCUAGAGUGUGUCAGAGGAUGGUGGAAUUCCCGGUGUAGCGGUGAAAUGCGUAGAGAUCGGGAGGAACAUCAGUGGCGAAGGCGGCCAUCUGGGACAACACUGACGCUGAAGCACGAAAGCGUGGGGAGCAAACAGGAUUAGUUACCCUGGUAGUCCACGCCCUAAACGAUGCGAACUGGAUGUUGGUCUCAACUCGGAGAUCAGUGUCGAAGCUAACGCGUUAAGUUCGCCGCCUGGGGAGUACGGUCGCAAGACUGAAACUUAAAGGAAUUGACGGA